UCCCUGGUAAUCCAGUGAUUAGGACUCUGCACUUCCAUGGCAGAGGGCACAGGUUCAAUUCCUGGUUGGGGAA
rnacentral:tRNA from 1 species